GGUGAGAUGGCCGAGCGGUCUAAGGCGCCAGACUAAGGUUAUGUAAUCUGGUCCGAAAGGGCGUGGGUUCGAAUCCCACUCUCAUCA
rfam:Grifola frondosa strain 9006-11 000003F, whole genome shotgun sequence.